GUACUGUGCAAACGUUAUUCGGAAUCACUGGGCUUAAAGGGUGCGUAGGCGGCUAGCUAAGUAGGGUGUGAAAUGCCUCGACUCAACCGAGGAACUGCGCUCUAAACUGGUUAGCUUGAGUGAGAUAGGGGUGUGCGGAACUUCCAGUGGAGCGGUGAAAUGUGUUGAUAUUGAAAGGAACGCCGGUGGCGAAAGCGGCACACUGGGUCUCAACUGACGCUGAGGCACGAAAGCCAGGGUAGCGAACGGGGGAUUAGAUACCCCGGUAGUCCUGGCUGUAAACGAUGAGCACUAGAUGGGAGGGACUUCGGUCCAUCCGGUCGCAGCGAAAGCAUUAAGUGCUCCGCCUGGGAGUAUGGUCGCAAGGCUG
rnacentral:rRNA from 1 species